rnacentral:tRNA from 1 species
GCCUGGGUGGCUCAGUCGGUUGAGCGUCUGACUUCGGCUCAGGUCAUGAUCUCAUGGUUCAUGGGUUCAAGCCCCGCGUCGGGCU